rnacentral:rRNA from 1 species
GGCGUAAAGCGCAUGCAGGUGGUGGAUUAAGUCAGAUGUGAAAGCCCGGGGCUCAACCUCGGAACCUGCAU